rnacentral:tRNA from 1 species
AGCCCUGUCGUCUAGUCUACCCUUCUUUCCCGAAAGAAGUGUUGAAAUCCCAAGAAAGGGAUUUUGAAAGACAAUGGCCAAGGAUAGUGGGCUUUGGACCCAUUGACCCAGGUUCGAAUCCUGGCGGGGCUA